rnacentral:rRNA from 1 species
AUUGAACGCUGGCGGCAGGCCUAACACAUGCAAGUCGAGCGGAGCGGCUGACGGGUGAGUAAUGCCUAGGAAUCUGCCUUGUCGUGGGGGAUGACGUCCGGAAAGGGGCGCUAAUACCACAUCCUAUCUGAUGCGCCUAGGGCGGAUUAGCUAGUUGGUGGGGUAGUGGCCUACAAAGGCGACGAUCCGUAACGUGGCUGAGAGGAUGAUCAGCAACACUGGAACUGAGACACGGUCCAGACUCCUCGGGGAGGCAGCAGUGGGGAAUAUUGGACAAUGGGCGAAAGCCUGAUCCAGCCAUGCCGCGUGGGUGAAGAAGGUCUUCGGAUUGUAAGGCACUUUAAGUUGGGAGGCGGUACCUACAGAAUAAGCACCGGCUAACUUCGUGCCAGCAGCCGCGGUAAUUC